GUUGUACAUCCUAGUCAGAAUCAGAGAACAAUGGAGUGCUGCGUGCUAGUGACCACCUCACCCUCUCCUCCUCAUACUCUCCCACCUCAUUCACUGUAGCGGGAGAUGGGAAAACCCAGGAGAAGCUAGAAAAAUGGUGGCAACGUGCGGAACUUCCCUCGUUUGCUGUCGAUGGGAAAUGCUGACCAAGACAGGCCUUUGAGACAGCGGCGCUGCAGAGACCCGAGGAGCACAAAUCAAGGCAGAACUCUUAAAGCAGCAGCAAAGGAGUCAAAUACAACUGCAAAAUCUACAUAUAAUCCAAUAUUUCGGUCUGGUUUUUAUUUGCUCUGAGCUAAAUAAACGUGAAUAACGAGAAGGAAGCCUCAGCCAUGCUGAUGGCAUUGCAGACAAUAUAAAGUACGCUUGGUUCACUUCAUCAUAAAAUUCCAUCGUGGAUCACACCUGCAGAGAUACAGUUCUUUUUUCCAAUUUCUAUUUUUUCUCCCCCAAACAGCCAUACCUGGCAACUGACUGUUUUGGCUGUCGGUGAUUAUGACUAGCCAGCAGUCAGAAAUCAUUCAAGAAUAUUCCCUGUCCCCUUCCGAAGCUAUCAGUAAAAAUUACACAUUGGGGUUGGGGAUUUAGCUCAGUGGUAGAGCGCUUGCCUAGGAAGCGCAAGGCCCUGGGUUCGGUCCCCAGCUCCAAAAAAAAGAAAAAGGAAAAAAAAAAUUACACACUAGCCUCUACUGAAGAAAUGGAUCUAGGUCAGACAAACAUAAACACUGAGUAAUGAAAGGAUGAGAAGAGUUACAGCACUGGAAAAGACUGUUCAGAGAAACUAGCAGACUCAUACAUGCAGAAGCUACACACACGGAGAAUCACAUACACACACAUGCACAUACAUGCGCAAACACAAAUAUACACAUACACAUGCACAAACACACACACGUGCACAUGCACAUACACAUACACAAACACAAAUACACACAUGCACAUACACGUGCACAAACACAAAUACACACAUACACAUGCACAAAGAAACACACACACAUACGUGCACAUGCACAUACACAUGCACAAAAACAAAUACUCGCAAAAACGCAUACGCAAGUGCUCACACGCGUGCGCGUUCACACAAACGCACAUACCAUUUGAAAACAGAAACAGGGUAUUUUUUUUUCCAGGAUCUCAAAAGGAAAGACCUCAGAUUACAGAUUUAAUGAGGAUCUAGAUUCGAUGCUCAGCAAAGAGAGGGAGAGGAGGAAGGUAAAAGGUCAGGGAGGGAAGGAGAGAGGGAGAGAGGGAGAGAGGGAGGGAGGGAGGUGAUUUUCUGGCUAAGUAUAUAAUAAACAGCUUCACUUAUCAAAUCCUACCACACUAUAAUUAAAUCAGAACAGCAACGGAAGGGGAUCCUCAGUCCUCAUUUUCAUCUUGCAUGAAGUGCAAUCUCCUUACAUCUUAAUGUGUAUUCUUUCACCAAAGUCACAUAUUAAAGUCAUUGUUAACCACUGGUAAUACAAAUUAAAGACUAAUAGAAACCUCUCUGGACUUUGGGUGAGAAGAACAGGUUCCGUCUCUAACAUGCAAGCUGUGUGGACUCAGGGUGGAAAAUCAGUCACCUGCUGGGAAAUUCAAAUCUUCUUAGCUGCAUCACAGCCUUUUCUCACAAGGAUCAGAUAUAAUGAUGUGUGUGAAAUACCUCGUAAGCUGGGAAGCAUUAGCCACACGAGGACGUUAUCAACGCCACAUGUGAGCUGUACAAUUGUACCCAGAACUUGGAGAAGCAGUGUGCUCUCAGCUAUACAACGCAUGUAGCAAAUGCACUGAAGAGUAAGAACGUAUCACGAGACGGAACGGAGAGCGGAAACCAUCCAAAAAAAAAAAAAAAAAAAAGUUCACCCAAGGCUUUUGUGAACAGAUGGGAACCACGAGGUCUCUGCCACACUUCACAUUCUCUAGGUCUCCUGUGUCUUAGGGGACAGCUUUCCCACCUCUUUUUCAGUCCUUGAUGUGGCCUUUCACCAUGCUUGCUACACUGAGAAUAGCUGUGCUAAAACCUGCUGACAUCCGGCUCUCGGGAGUCUAGACACUCGCUCGACCUUAGAGAACACAGCAUCUGAAUCAUGAUUCUCUUUAGUACCCUGUCUUACACCCAUGAGAGUGUAAAUUUAAAUUCUGAGUGUAGGCUGGACUGUCUGAGACUAAGCUUUCUGAAGGCAGCAAAAAAAAAAAAAAAAAAGUUCUCAUAUAAGAUAGCCCAAAAAAAAAAAUGGAGAAAGUCCAACGGAAAUUUUCAUAGAAUCAUAGAGUAUUUCUGCAAGAUGCUUGUCGUAAUAAUUAAAAUGCUUCAAGACACUUCAUAAAAUAUGAAAAUUAUCAACAAUAAUUGCAAAGACAGGAAUUUUGUCGUGACUGGAAAACACAGAAAAUGAAUUCACCGUGUGUCUAGAAGAGUAGAAUUAAAGCCAAAACCAGAAAGAGAACAUAUCAUACUUAAAGAUGGUCCGCUUCGUGCCGCCACUGUGAGGGCUUGAGUAACGUGCUUCUCACCAAAAUGAGACAGUAUGCCAGUCAAGAGGGACCUUCAAGUCCUGAUUUGGUGGAAACGACAAUCAAAGACGCCCAACCUUGCCCCUGCCUCAGAAGACACAGUAUUUCCCCUGUUAUGUAUUUGGAGGUUCUGUCAUUGAGGUGAACUGAUCUAUCAAAAAUUCGUGAAACAAGGUAACCGUUCAUCACUGAGGGAAGGACAGGCAGAAACUCAAAUAAGGCAGGAACCUGGAGAGAGCAACUGCCCUGCUCCCUGUGUUCUGCUCAGCCUGCUUUCCUACUGGACCCAGGAUCACCAGCCCAGGGGUGGCACCACCCACAGAUAAAGACUGAAAAUGAAGAAUGGGAGCCUCUCAGACCGUGCUGUGGCUUUGAAGCCACAUAUCUGAAUAUGCGAUCUCUUGCUUUCCCACUCAGGAACCCUGGAGAGCACUGUUAUCUGACUGAUUAUGAAUGCACGUAUUUUCACAAGAAUAUGCAAUCUUAACUGCCUCAGCGCAGGACAUUGAAGUGACGAAGUACCAAAUUAAAGAUUGUUCUUUUUUUGUCUGGAAUUCACUCCAGCAAGAAAUUGAACAAGGAGAUUUGGAAUCCAAAAACAGUAGACCACCUCAUGAGACAUUAUUAAUUAUUGGUGGAGCCCGGCCUUCUGGUUUCUUAUCUCCCCAUAACCCAGUGCUCCCAUCCCCUGAAAGGAAUUUACUGUUUAUUAAUGCCUUCCGCAACUUUGGUAUCCGGGCAAGCGCAGGAAGCUUCCUACCAAAGUUACACAGAUGUCAUCUGAGUGUGAGCCACAGUUGUCAGUCUUUCCAAUGGACUUGAAAUCAGUAGGGGAAAAUGUAUAGGGGCGGGAAGAUGGCUCAAAGAGUAAAGUACCGAAUUACAUAUGAGGAUGUACAGAAUUACGUAUGAACAUUUGAGUCUGGAUUCUCAACAUCCAUGUAUAGUGCCGGGACUAUAGCAUGUGCCAGGGAAACAGACACAGGUUACCUGAGGCUUACCCCGAGGCCAAAACUAGCUAAAUCUGUUUAGAUCCAGGUUCAGUCAAAAGCCCAAAAUAGGAAAUAAUCAAGGUAGAUACCAGACAUUAACCUUUUGCCUUCAUAUACAGCUACCCGCAUGUGCAUGUAAACUACUGCAUACACACUCACAUGUACAUACAUACAUACAUACAAACAUACAUACAUACAUACAUACAUACAUACAUACAUGCUGUCUUUGGAGUUCCUGGAGCUUUAACAUUCUAUUCAUAUCUGCACUAGUCCACCAAUUUCUAAAUGUCAGCUGGGUCUUAGUUCACUGGCACCAUACAACCUAAGGGCUUAGAGACUUAGGUUAUAGACCCCUGACAUUUGUCAGAGUCUGAGGACAUGCACAGUCCUUUUAAAAAAAAAAAAAAAGCUGAUCCUAUUAAGAUUUUCUGUUAGGACUACAAAACCCUUAGCCCAUUUUCUGAAUAAAACUCAUCUGUUCGAUCAUUAAAAUAAAUGGAAUAGGCUUCAACAGAUAACCGUGAAGGUGUGUUUUGUGGAGGUUGCAAAAGCUUUGACUUUAAGCUGGGCAUGGCGGUACACACCUGGCAUGCUAGAACUCUGAACACGGAGAACGGAAGAUUGUGAAUUUGAAGCCAGCCUAAGCUACAUAGUCAAACCGUGUCUUUUAAAGACAGAAUUGUUACUUUGAAGGUAGAAGUUUCCAGAUAGGGUUCAGGACUUGCUAUCACAAAAUACAGAGCCUGGGUAUAUUUUAAAAUGACAGUGUGUUUUUGUUUCUCCCAAGCUUUCCUAUAAACAGAAAACUUUCUUUAGCCCUCCCCUACCUUCCCCUCCCAGAACUUAGGAAGGACUUCCCAACAUUCCUUGACACAGGUCAUAACACUCACACACGGGGUGCCUUUCCUACACUCAGAGAAAAGAACCCACAUCACCAAAGGUGAGAGAAAUACAAACAGAUCUUGGUGUGCUCUCCAGUUUAUUGCCUUGUCCUCACAUUCCGUUUGUCCUAUCGAAUUUUCCCACAAAUGAACACUCUUCCUCACGUUUCCUGGCUUUAAAACAUUCAAAUUAAACCAGGCCUAGGAGAAGCACACAGGAAACUGAAGAUGAUCAUAAGCUGGAAGUCAGCCUGAGCUGUGAGGUGAGACCCAUCCUCAAAAACAAAACAAGGAAAAACACUAGACUGUUUUCUUCAGCUGUCUAUUUCCUAUGUCACUUAUAAUUAUACCAAAUAAAUACACAUGCUUUGCCCUUGCCAAUAUGA